GGGCUCGUAGCUCAGCUGGGAGAGCGCCGCGUUCGCAACGCGGAGGUCAGGAGUUCGAUCCUCCCCGGGUCCACCA
rnacentral:tRNA from 2 species